ACCAACCUUAACCAAUUGAGAUUUCAAGGAAAAGAAAGGAAAGCUUCAGGUUUGGGGAUUUGGCUCAAUGGUAGAGCGCUUGCCUAGCAAGCACAAGGCCAUGGGUUCGGUCCCCAGCUCCGAAAAGAAGAAAUAAACAAGGAAAAGUUCCAGUUUCUUUGUAUCUCAUUUGUCAUAUUGUCUUUUUUUUUCUUUUUAAGAUUUAUUUAUUUAUUUAUUUAUUUAUUUAUUUAUUUAUUUAUUUAUUUUUUGUGGUUCUUUUUUUCGGAGCUGGGGACCGAACCCAGGGCCUUGCGCUUCCUAGGCAAGCGCUCUACCACUGAGCUAAAUCCCCAGCCCCAGAUUUAUUUAUUUUAUGUAUGUGAGUGCACUGUCGCUGUCUUAGGACACACCAGAAGAGGGCAUCAGACCCCAUUACAGAUAGUUGUGAGCCACCACGUGGUUGCUGGGAAUUGGACUCAGGACCUCUGGUAGACCAGUCAGUGCUCUUAACCACUGAGCCAUCUCUCCAGCUUGUAUCAUACUGUCUUAGUUAGGGUUUUACUGCUAUGAACAGACACCAUGACCAAGGCAAGUCUUAUAAAGGACAACAUUUCAUUGGGGCCGGCUUACAGGUUCAGAGGUUCAGUCCAUUAUCAUCAAGGUGGGAACAAGGCAGCAUCCAGGCAGGCAUGGGGCAGGAGCUGAGAGUUCUACACCUUCAUCUGCAGGCUGCUGGUGGAAGACUGACUACCAGACAGCUAGGAAGAGGGUCUUAAGCCCACACCUACCCCAACAAGGCCACUCCUCCUAAUAGUGCCACUCCCUGGGCCAAACAUAAACAAACCAUCACACAUAGCCUAACCCUGCUCAUCACUGUCUGCUGUCCCAAGGACAACUGGGCUCACUAAUCAAGAAUUUUAUUUUAUUUUAUUAAGUUUUAGAUUUUGAGUGUUUUGCCUACACACAUGUAUGUGCAUGGCGUCUGUGCCAGAUGCCCAUGGAAGUCAGAUGCAGUCAUUGGAUGCCCUAGAACCAGAGUUAAUAAUGGCUGUGACUCACAGUGGAGGGUGCUAGGAACCAGAUCAGGGUCCUCAGCAAGAACAAGCGUUCUUUUUUUUUUUUUGGUUCUUUUUUUCGGAGCUGGGGAUCGAACCCAGGGCCUUGCGCUUCCUAGGUAAGCGCUCUACCACUGAGCUAAAUCCCCAGUCCCAGAACAAGAGUUCUUAACCGUUUAACCACCCUCAUCCCCUGAUCAAGGACUUUGAGUUUGCCCGAACUCAGACCCAAAUCACGACACUCCAAUCACGUUGGCUACUCUCCAUUCACACCUUCUUUCUGCCUUUGUUUCAUCUUUUGGAGCUCAGAAGACUUCCUGGGUGACAAGGUCUUAUGUAUCAGGCUGGCCUUAAACUCAUCAGUGUAGCCAAGGAUGACCCUGAACUCUUAGCCUCCUGCCUCUACCUGCUGAGUAUGUAAUGUAAGUAUAAGUGUGUAAUGUAAGUGUACCACUAUGCUCAGUGUGUGUGAGAACCCGGAGCUUUGUGACUGUGCUCCCAACUGAGCUACAUCCCCAGGCCCCAGAGUCUAACUUCUAGGGGACCCCAGCCUGCCAGCUUCCGGUUAGACCUGGUCAAUGGGAGGCCCAGAACGAGGUGGGGAGGAAAGAGAAGAGUGUUUGCUUCCUGGUUCCCUUCCUGCUUGGACCAAUACUGUCAGCAGACACACGACUUGUCCUAUAGAGCCAGUCUUUAUCGUGCCUUCAAUGUACCCUCGUGUCUAGAUUCUCCAAGCACGUGUCAAAGGUAUUUGGAACUGUGGCUUCUGAGAGUUAGUUAGGGGGCUGGAGACAUGGCUCAGAGACCCAGGUUCAAUUCCCAGCAUCCACAUGGCAGCUCCUGACUGCCUGUAAUCCAAGAUCUGACACUCUUACACAGAUGUACAUAUUAAAUAAAAAUAAAAAAAUUAUUAAAAAUGAAGAGCAUUAGACAUAUACAAGAUUAUAUGGCGGGGCUCCUAUGACAUCACUGGUGAUUUCAUAAGAGUCCUAAGCUAUUAUGUUUGUUCCGUAUUUUUUUUUCUUCUUUUUGGAGCUGGGGACCGAACCCAGGGCCUUGCGCUUGCUAGGCAAGCACUCUACCACUGAGCUAAAUCCCCAACCCCUUGUUCCGUAUUUUUAAAAGAUUUUUCCCUCUCUUUUUCUCUCUAUUUCUGUCUUUGUCUGUCUCUGUGUGUGUGUGUGUGUGUGUACUCUUGAAGGUCAGAAGCGAGUACCAGAUCCCCUGGAGCAAGAGUUACAGUGAGUUGUUGGCCAUGGGUGCUAGGAACUGAACUCCUUAAGGUUCCAUUGCUGUGAAGAGACACCAUGACAGAGGCUGCUUUUAUAAAGACAAACAUUUAAUUGGGGCUGGCCAACAGUUUCAGAGGUUCAGGCCAUUAUCAUCAUGGCGGCAUGCAGACAGGCAUGGUGCCUCAGAAGGAGCUGAGAGUUCUACAUCUUGAUCCUAAGACAGCCGGGAAGAGUCUGGCUUUUGCACACUGGGCAGAGCUUGAGCACUAGGAGACCUCAAAGCCCACCUACACGGUGACAUACUUCCUCCAACAGGGCCACACCUGUUCCAACAAGGCCAUGCCUCCUGAUAGUGCCACUUCCCAUGAGCCAAGCAUAUUCAAACCACCACAAACAGCAAGGGCAUUUGAUGGCCGGGGCCUGUCUCCGUGCCUUGUGCUUGUUCUAGUUUCCACACAAUGCCCACAACAUGUAGGGAUGCAGGAAACAGGCCCUGAACAGAUGGGCUUUUGGACUUCUUGACUUCCAGACUCACUAGCUACAUUUCUGUUCUCUUUAAACUACUCAAUCUUGGAUGUUUGGUUAUAGCAAUUGAAAAACAAAGUAAGACACUCCUUGUCCAUGGUUCUAGAUCUCCCAAGCAACGGAAGUAACCUCUUCUUUCUCUUUGCACCAAUAGCCCUGCUGGCGGGAAUAGCAAGCUGUAUUUGUCUGCCCUGGGCCUGAAUGUAUUUAUGGGCACCAUGCUUGUGGUUGGUGCCUGAGGAGGCCAGAAGAGGUUGCCUAUCCGCUGGAGCUGGAGUUACAAAUGGUAGUGACCCACCACAUGGGUGUUGGAAACUGGAACCAGGGUCCCUGCAAGAAUACAAGUGCUUGUAACUACUAAACCAUCUGUCCAGUCUUUCUAUCUGGUAAGAGAGUGUGUGUAUGUAUGCCACACACACACACACACACACACACACAGAGAGAGAGAGAGAGAGAGAGAGAGAGAGAGAGAGAGAAAUAUAUAUAUGUGUGAGUUUGAGGCCAGAAGCAAUGGCAAAUAUCUUUUCUUUUAAUUUUUUUUAAGAUUUAUUUAUUUAUUAUAUAUGAGUACACUGUAGCUGUCUUCAGACACAGCAGAAGAGGGCAUCAGAUCCCAUUACAGAUGGUUGUGAGCCACCACGUGAUUGCUAGGAACUGAACUCAGGACCUCUGGAAGAGCAGUCGGUGCUUUUAACCACUGAGCCAUCUCUCCAGUCCGGCAAGUAUCUUCAUUUGUUGUUAUUUGCUUAUACCAAACCUUACCAAUAUGGCGAGACUGUAGGCCCUAGGGAUCUUCCUGUCUUUGGUUCCCCAGCACAGAUGCAUGCCACAGCCCCCCCUCCCCUGCUUUUUGGUGCGCGUUCUGAGGAUGGGGUCAGACUCAGGUCCCCCGCAUGCUGGCAGUUGAACCAUCUCCCUCUCCUAUUUUUAUUUGCUUUUCUGCAGUGCUGGGCAUUGACCUUAGGGCCUCCCACUUGGUCGGCAGGUGCUCUUUCUCCCGGUCCCAGCUCCCAGCCAUCUACUUUACUUUUUCUUUUAAUUUUUAUUUAUUUAAUGUAUGAGUGCUUGGCUGCAUAUAUAUCUGCCUGCCUGAAGAGGGCAUCAGAUCUCAUUAUAGAUGGUUGUGAGCCACCAUGUGGUUGCUGGGAUUUGAACUCAGGACCUCUGGAAGAGCAGCCAGUGCUCUUAACCACUGAGCCAUCUCUCUAGCCCUUAAGUUUUUUAAAAAGAUGAAUUUAUUUAUUUUAUUUACAUGAGUACGCUGUCGAUGUCUUCAGACACACCAGAAGAGGGCAUCAGAUCUGAUCACAGAUGGUUGUGAGACACCAUGUGGUGGGGAAUUGAGCUCAGGACCUCUGGAAGAGCAGUCGGUGCUCUUAACCGCUGAGCCAUCUCUCCAGCCGCUGUUUUAAAUUUUAAAGCAUUAGAUAGAGAUGUGGUUUGGCCGUAGAGUACUAGCCUAUCAUGCACAAGGCUCAAGGCUCAGACCCUGUCACUGCCAUAAGAAACAAACAAAAAGAAAGAAAGAAAGAAAGAAAGGAAGGAAGGAAGGAAGGAAGGAAGGAAGAAAGGUAGAUAGGUAGAUAGGUAGAUAGGUAGAUAGAUAGAUAGAUAGAUAGAUAGAUAGAUAGAUAGAUAGAUAGAUAGAUAGAUAGAUAGAUAAUUUCCUGGCUAUGGCCUAGGAUUGAUCAUUUCACUUCUGGGAACCAGAGACUCCUCGUACUACAACAGACAGAAGUCAAGUUCACACCGAUGCAGGCUACUGUGAUGGCAGUCCAGUUGCAGCAAUUUGGAGAAUACUGGGUCAAACACAGAAAUGAAGGAGCACAUACAUGAUCAAGUCUAGGUGUGCCCUGAAGUCCACAGCCCUCUUACCACCGACAGGAUCGUGCGCGCCACCUCCUGGUUUGUCCUGGUAACACAUGAAAAGUUCCUCCCCAAGACCCAUUCAAUAUAACCCUUGGAACCCCUGAAAAACACCACACUAGGGGCUGCCAACGGCAUAGAACACCAUUCAGGACAGAUGGCUAAUAGCCACACGAAACAAAAAGUUCAAACUCAUUGGCAAUGUGAGAGAUGCCCUUUUAAAAAAUAACUCAGUGUAACCUUUUCCUCAGAUUGGCAAAGACAGCGGUGCUCCUGGAGUCUGGAGUGCGGCUGCGCACAGCAGGGGCGGCGCACCAGUCAGGGAGGCUUCAGACCGAGGCAAAGCUGCCAGCGCCUCAGUGAGUGCCUGGCUCCCAAACCUGCCACUCCACUUCGGGGGUUUAUCACGACGUUUAAAAGGAGGUGUCGGGGUUGGGGAUUUAGCUCAGUGGUAGAGCGCUUGCCUAGCAGGCGCAAGCCCUGGGUUCGGUCCCCAGCUCCGGAAAAAAAAAAAAAAAAAAAAAAAAAAGGAGGUCUCAUGGCGUGGGGAAAUACUGACCUCAGCUGUAAUGGUCACAAAACAGUAUAAACAUGCACUGUCAUUCAUCUCUAUUUCUUAUAAAAUGUGCUUGUGCAAAUUGCCCGUGAUUUCUUUUUUGAAUGACCGACAGUCUUUGUCCAUAGAGGAGUGGUAUUUCCUCGGGUGACUUUGUUGUUUCUUUCAUUCUAACUUUUGGUUUUUGACUUUUCUGAUCGUAGGGAAAUGGCAACGUUGGAUAAAACACCGUUGGAUCGCACACCGCGAUCACCCCGAUUUUAAAGAGACAUUCCUUCUACCCCCUGUGGGUCAGGAGCUGGAGGUGACAUUUGCGAAUGCUCUCUUUAAAAGCUCCUCUGAUGAGUCCCUUGUGAUUUCAGAGCCACUGACUUUUGCUAUCUUUCCCCUUACGUACUAAGCUUUCGUGAAGCUUCAUCCACGGGAAUCACCAAAGCCUUUGAUGUAUUUCGAUGCUUCUUCUUUUUUUUUUUUUUUUUCAGAGGCUUUUUAGGGCUUUCUCUUGAUCUGGUAUGAAAUGCUUCCCAUCUAGAGGGAAAUUAUGGCCUUUGACUGUGUUGGAUUUUCUCUCAACAGAGCACACACUUUCAGGGGAACAGUGAGCACAGGCAGGUGGGGACCACGCUGUAUCCAUUACUCUUGGAUCCUGGAGCACAGUGAGUUUUCCCGGAAGGAGCCAGCCCUUCUCCCUGCAUGCUGCAUUGGAACCACUAUCAAUCAGAAGUGUGCACCCACCCCUCGCCAAAUAACAGCCCAUGGGAGUUCUCUUGCUCUGGAUCUGACUGGUCUUGGUAAUCCAGCUCCCAUGUCACCCAAUGAUUGCCCAACCCCCUUCCUAUACAUUUCCAAUUGGGCAAGUUAGUUGGUACCAGCGUCCGUUGCUUGUAACCUCAGCAUCUUGGCUAAUAUAAGGGGAUUGAGGUGGGUCAUGCUGGGCCUCUGGGAGAGGAGUGUCUUGAGAGUCCAAGUUUAGCACCCCGAGGAUAGGGGCAGGCAGAAGAGGAUGGUAGGAUUUUGUGGUUUCUCUCUCCAAACCCCACUGCCUUUCUUUUUCUUUUUUUUCUUUUUUCUUUUCUUUUUUUCGGAGCUGGGGACCGAACCCAGGGCCUUGCUCUUACAAGGCAAGCGCUCUACCACUGAGCCAAAUCCCCAACCCCUCCACUGCCUUUCAAUAGGUCAUGCGCCCUUCCAUGGGGGCAACGCUAUCCCAAAAAGGCAAGGAUACUGAUUAAGGAUCAGAGAACCUGGCUUGGAAGCUGGUAGCCACUGACUGUCACUUAUCCAUUGUAAAAGGACUGGGGGACAGCAACCUGGUUUGAAAAGGAGGCUAGAGACUAUAGCUUACAGUUGACUAAACAAUGCUCCUUACAUUUACUUCAGUGCUGUGUCUACUUCCAGAGGUCAGAAGUCCCACAGCUUGCAGGGGUCAGUUCUCUUUCUACCAGGUAGGUUUGGGGAAAUCAAACUCAGGUCUUAAGGCCUUGUAGUAAAGACCUUUACAAACUGAGCCAUCUCACAGGCUGUACUGGAUAGAUUUAUGUCAAGCUAAAGUUAUCUGAAAGGAAGGAACCUCAACUGAGAAAACACCUCCAUAAGAUCCUGCUGUAAGAUAUUUUGUCAAUUAGUGAUUGAUGGGGGAGGGCCCAGCCCAUUGUGGGUGAGGCCGUCCCUGGGCCAAUGGUCCUGGAUUCUAUAAAAAAGUAGACUGAGCAAGCUAUGGGGAGCAAGCCAAUAAGCAGCAUAUCUCCAUGGCCUCUGCUUCAGCUCCUGCCUCCAGGUUCCAACCCUGGUCCUGCCAUGGCUCCUUUCAGUGAUGGACUAUACAAUGUAGAAGUACAAGCCAAAUAAACCCUUUUGUCCUCAACCUGCCUUUUGGUUAUGGUGUUUUGUCACAGCCAGAGAGACCCUAACUAAGUCACUAGCUCAGGGUUGCUUUUGUGAAGUUUGAAGUAGCCAGGCCAGCCUUGAACUCCCUAUGUGGUCAAGAAUGACCUUGAACUUCUAAUCCUGCUGCCUCCACCUGCCCAGUUUAUGAGGGUGAGGGGGACCCAGGGCUUUAAGCGUGCUAAGCAGGUUAUAUACCAACUGGACUACACCUCUGGCUUGCUUCUUUUUUAUCUUGUUUUUGUUGGUUUCUUUAAAACAGGGUCUCUCUGUGGAACUCUGGCUGGCCUGGCACCACCUGUGUAGAUCAGGAUGGCCUCAACCUCACAGAGAUCUGCCUGCCUCUUGAAUACUGGAAUCGAAGUUGUACUCCAUUGUGGCUUGCCUCCUGAUGGCAUUUGCUGCCUACCAGGAAGCACAGGGGACCACAUUGAUGGUCGUUUCGCUUGGAAUUGUUCCCAAGGAAGUGAGCCUAGACUAGGGAUACUCAGGUGUGUAGCGGGGCAGGGGUGGGGGGUUGGCUUGGGGUACAGGAAUCCCGCCACCUCUCCUACAGACAGAGCCAACACCCACGUUCUCCAGCCCUUACCACUGGUCUUUCUAAUCCCUGUCCAUCUUGGUAAGUGAGAGCAAGUGAGUCUCCCAGAAUCCUUGGAGCGGACAAACCUGAGCAGCUCACUUAAGUACCAAAGGAGCCUCCCCACCGCCCUUAAUUUUCUGUAUGUAUCGAUUCUGCCUGCCUGUGUAUCUGUACGCCAUUUGGGUGCCUGGUGCCUACAGAGGCCAGAAGAGGGCGCCAGACCACUAACUGUCCUUACAGAAGGUAGUAAGCUGUGACAGACAGUGCUCUUCACCAGGGAACCUCCUCUUCAGCCUCAAGCAAGCCUUUUAAUCUCCUAAAUGCUCGUUGGACCCAGCGGGGCAGUUACAAUUAGAUCAGUGCCUGGAGAGAUCCAGCCCCACCCCCUUCAACUGACCAACCCCUGCUGGAGAUUAAGAAAUGCCCAUCCUGGUGCUGGGAAACAAAUCACCCAAGAUAGGAAUGAUUUAGCCAUACUUGUCCCAAGCCCAGUCCCUAGCUAACGGCAGAUAUAACAGGGUAUAUAAUAUAUGUGACUGGUCCUAUCUCUGCACCCCCUGGCCAAAUUCCCUAAGUGCCUUCAAGUCCCAGUGGCCUCACAUCAUGCCUGUCCCCACAGCAAAGUUGUUAUAAAGAAAUGGCUUGGGGAGUUGGGGAUUUGGCUCAGUGGUAGAGUGCUUGCCUAGCAAGCGCAAGGCCCUGGGUUUGGUCCCCAGCUCCGGGGCGGGGGGGGGGGGAGAAAAAAAGAAAAAAAGAAAAAAAGAAAAAAAGAAAAGGCUUGGGCUGGAGAGAUGGCUCAGCGGUUAAAGGUACUGACUGCUCUUCCAGAGGUCCUGAGUUCAAUUCUCACAACCACAUGGUGGCUCAUAACCAUCUGUAAUGGGAUCUGAUGCUCUCUUCGGCUGUGUCUGAAGACAGCAACAGUGUACUCACAUACAUAAAAUAAAUAAAUACAUUUAAAAUGAAGAAGAAGAAGAAAAGGCUUCCCUUAGUUCUGCGGACACACAACUUCCCAGAGCCCAGUCCCCAUCUAGUGGCUGAAGUGAAGGAGGCAGCUCCAUCUGAAAUGGGCUUUUGCAGAGCUCAUCCACCAGCUCUUUCGCUCUUUCUUGUCUGCUGCUUUCUGACAAAUACCAGGUGUUCUCUCUCUGUAUCUAUCUUUCUCUACCUCUAUCUCUAUCUCUCGACCAGGGUAGCUUCGAACUCACAGAGAUCUGCUUGCUUCUGAUCCUGAGUGCUGGGAUUAAUGGCGUGGACCACCAUCAUCUGGCUGCUGUAUCAGAAACACUUCGAGUCCUUACUUCUGGAGACUGGAUUGCUCCUGUCGCCCACAAAAACCAAAGCUCAAAGACAAGGAGACUUGCUCUCAGACUACAGGGUGGUACAGGGUCUCUCCCGCUACUUGACCUCAGGAUUCGUGACCCAUCAAGGAAUCUGGGGACAUGUGAGUUUGAGCCUCUGCUCUGCCAACUCUCAUCUGCCAUCUCUCCCUCUUCUUUGAAACCAUUACACCACCUGUAAAACCCUUUAGUGCCCAAUUAGGGCUCCUUGAUUAACCAGGAGAGGGCCUUGACUUCCGAUGCCUAUGCGCAUCUGACAUCCCAAGUACCAGAAGGAUCAUUUAAAACAUCACCGGAAGGCAGGUGCGAAGGUGGCUACCUGUAAUCUCACUGCCAGGUGAAGGCAGGAGGUUCUGGAGUUCAAGUUGAGUUUCUGCUACAGAGUAACUUUCAGGCCAGCUUGGGCUACAUGAAACUUUGUUUCAAAACAAACAAAAGAAAACCUGGCUGAAGAAGGAAGAUAUACAAGGUCUGAGGCAGAACCAGAACUACUCAGGACUCAGCUAAGGAGCAACGGAAGGCAUCCUAACUUCUUCCAAUCCAUUCUUGCGCAACACUUCCCAACCCCAUGCCAGCACCCAGAGCUUCAGUGUCCCUGUCCCAAGUGGGUUUCUUCUCUCUCACUUCCCAGCAGCAUCUUGUUAAGGAAAGACUUCGAUCGAUGGAGCUGGAGAACUGGCUAAGCAGUGGGGGGAGUGUUAGCUCCUAGCACCCACUUUGGGUUGUGGGGUGGAGGGGAUCCCACCUCCUCUUCCAGCCUGGGGAAGAGUUUGCCCCCAUACAUAAUUAAAAGUUUUUUGUUUUUUGGUUUUAGACAAGGUUUCUCUGUAUAGCCUUGCCGGUCCUGGAACCCUGUUUUGUUUUGUUUUUUUAAGAUUUAUUUAUUUAUUAUAUAUAAGUACAUUGUAGCUGUCCUCAGACACACCAGAAGAGGGCAUCAGAUCUCGUUACAGAUGGUUAUGAGCCACCAUGUGGUUGCUGGGAUUUGAACUCAGGACCUCCGGAAGAGCAGUCUGUGCUCUUAACCACUGAGCCAUCUCUCCAGCCCCCUGUUUUGUUUUUUUAAAAGACAGCAGGGCAUGGUGGUGCACGCCUUUAGUCCCACAGAGGCAGAGGCACAUGAGUUCCAGGCUAGCCUGGUCUACAAAAAUGAGUUCUGGGACAGCCAGGAGCUACAAAGAGAAGACCUGACUUUGAAAAAGAGACUUUGGCAAAACUUGGUCCCUAGCAGAGGAAAUGACUCAGGACAGUUCUCUAGGCUGAGUCUCUGUGCCAUUUGCAUUUCAAAAGGAGUCAAGCCUCAGCUCCGAAAGUGCCCUUGACGCAAUUUCUGUGCUAAUGAGAGCAGCAAAAGGCUAGGGAGGAGCAGAGACUGAACUUGUAGUGCAGAAGAAGAAUCAGUAGAAACUCACCAUGUCCUACUGACCACACUCUCAGUUUCCCACUCAGCCAGGACCCUGUGGACUCUCAGAGCAGGGACCUUUCUGAGUUGUUUGCUUUGGAGUUAACACACCUGGCGGAAAUACAUACAUUCAUAUUCAUAUACUAUGUGUCUGUCUGUCUGUCCGUCUGUCUCUAAGUGAGUCUCAUGUUGCCCAGGUUGGCCUCGAACUCUCUAUGUAUGACCUUAAUUUCUGAUCUUCCUGCUUUCACUGCUGGGAUUGUGGAUGUGUGCCAUGAAACCCAGUUUGAUUCAGCGCAGGGGACUGAACCCAGGACUUUCCAAAUGUACUCUUUCCGCUGAGCUACACUCCCAGCCCUAGCCUCAGUAUCUCAACUCCAGCUAGCUGUGAGGGCUGCCAGGGGCUUCCAGGAAAAAGCCACUGCUUUGCAGUCUGGGUGGGAUGUAGUUUUUCUCGCAACUUAGCUCUCAUCAUGCCUGCUCCAGUGGCAUCGGACCGAGGCGGGGGCUCUGCAGAUUGUAGUGCCUAUCUUCAGGGGUUAAGAGGAAGCUUCUGUGGCCCAGAGUCCCCUUCCAGGUCACAGAUCUGAUCUAGCUACUCAAGAGUUCCACCUCUGGGCUUGCAACCUGGAUCAGCAGGUAAAGGCAUUUGUACACAACUCUGACAACCUGAGUUGAUCUUCAGAACCCUUUAAUCCUGACAUUUAGGAACAGAGACAGGCAGAUCUCUGUGAGCUCAAGGCUAGCCUGGUCUAUGUAGCAAGUUCUAGGACAGACAGGGCUACAUAGAGAGACCCUGUUGAAAGAGGAGGAGGAGAAGGAGGAGGAGGAGGAAGUGGAGGAAGAGGAGGAGGAUGAAGAAGAGGAAGAGGAAGAGGAGGAGGAGGAGGAAGAGGAAGAAGAGGAAGGGAGGAAAAGGAGGAGGAGAGGAGGAGGAUGAGGAGGAGGGGAGGAGGAGGAGGAGGUGGUAGGAGCAGGGCAGAAGCAGUAGCACAAGGGGACAGUGAAAACAUUUCACAAAGUUGUCAUCUGACCUCCACGUACAGCUGUGACAGGUACAGUGCUCACACACACACACAACAUAAACAAAUACAUUUAAAAAAAAUUCUCUCUUUACCCUCUAGCCAGGAAUCAGAUCUAUCUACUUUGUAUGUGUGGUGUGUAUGCAUGUGUGGAGGCUAGAGUUCAGCUUUGGGUAUCUUACUCUAUCUAGCAAUUUCCUUUUAUUUUUGAGACAGAAUUUCAUUAUGUAGCCUUGGCUUUUUUCUUUUUUUAAACUCUGCUUGCUCACGUGUAUAUUUAAAAGGAAAUUCAAGGUCCCCCCCCCCCCCAAAACAUAUUGUGUUUUAUAUGUUUAAAUUGCAUUUAGUCAUCUCUGUAAUGGAUGUGGCGCUGUUUUACUAACAGGACACUGUCUUUGUUAUUUUCCUGCACUUUAGCACGUGUGUUUUAAUGAAGGCAGAAGUCCCAUAUCUCCUAAAAGUACUGCAUUAGCACCUGUGUAAACGUCUGUCCUAAUUUCUCCAAUGGCUGUGAUAGAAAGAAAACUGCCCACGUAUAUCUUAAACAGGAAACUUAAGGUCGUUUCCAGGGUUACAGUUAGGAUCAGGGUCAGGGUUAGGGUAAAGGUUAAGGUUACGAUUACAGUUAGAAUUAGGUUAGGGUAAGGGGAUGUAGAUCAGGCUGGACUAGAACUCGUGGAGAUGUGCUUGCUUUUCCUGAGUGCUGUGAUCAAAGGCAUGCGUCACCACAGCCUGGCUCCCACCUCAUUUUCUCAGACAGGUCUCUCACUGAACCUAGAGCUUUUUGCUAUUGCAGAUCUGACCAGCAAGCCCCUCUCAACCCCCCCCCCCAAACCACCCCCAGGAUCUACUUCCCCCUCCCUCCCUCCU